rnacentral:rRNA from 1 species
GACGAACGCUGGCGGCGUGCUUAACACAUGCAAGUCGAACGAUGAACCAGGGCUUGCCCUGGGGAUUAGUGGCGAACGGGUGAGUAACACGUGGGCAACCUGCCCCAGACACCGGGAUAACCUCUCGAAAGAGUGGCUAAUACCGGAUAUGACCACUUUGGGCAUCCAACGGUGGUGGAAAGGAUUCUGGUCUGGGAUGGGCCCGCGGCCUAUCAGCUUGUUGGUGGGGUAAUGGCCUACCAAGGCGACGACGGGUAGCCGGCCUGAGAGGGCAACCGGCCACACUGGGACUGAGACACGGCCCAGACUCCUACGGGAGGCAGCAGUGGGGAAUAUUGCGCAAUGGGCGAAAGCCUGACGCAGCGACGCCGCGUGAGGGACGAAGGUCUUCGGAUUGUAAACCUCUUUCAGCAGGGACGAAGCGAAAGUGACUGUACCUGCAGAAGAAGCACCGGCUAACUACGUGCCAGCAGCCGCCGUAAUAC